rnacentral:rRNA from 1 species
AGAGUUUGAUCAUGGCUCAGAUUGAACGCUGGCGGUAGGCUUAACACAUGCAAGUCGUGCGAGAAAGUACCUUCGGGUGCGAGUAGAGCGGCGGACGGGUGAGUAACGCGUAGGAAUCUACCUAGUAGAAGGGGAUAGCCCGGGGAAACUCGGAUUAAUACCGUAUACCUCCUUAGGGAGAAAGAGGGCUUAGCUUUGAUGCUCUCGCUAUUAGAUGAGCCUGCGUAAGAUUAGCUUGUUGGUGAGGUAAUGGCUCACCAAGGCGACGAUCUUUAGCUGGUCUGAGAGGACGAUCAGCCACAUUGGGACUGAGACACGGCCCAGACUCCUACGGGAGGCAGCAGUGGGGAAUAUUGGACAAUGGGCGCAAGCCUGAUCCAGCCAUACCGCGUGUGUGAAGAAGGCUUUCGGGUUGUAAAGCACUUUAAGUAAGGAGAAAAAGAUUGUAGUUAAUACCUGCAAUCCGUGAUGUUACUUACAGAAUAAGGACCGGCUAAUUCCGUGCCAGCAGCCGCGGUAAUACGGAAGGUCCAAGCGUUAAUCGGAAUUACUGGGCGUAAAGCGCGCGUAGGUGGUUUUUUAAGUUGGAUGUGAAAGCCCUGGGCUCAACCUAGGAACUGCAUCCAAAACUAGAUAACUAGAGUACGAAAGAGGGAAGUAGAAUUCACAGUGUAGCGGUGGAAUGCGUAGAUAUUGUGAAGAAUACCAAUGGCGAAGGCAGCUUCCUGGUUCUGUACUGACACUGAGGUGCGAAAGCGUGGGUAGCGAACAGGAUUAGAUACCCUGGUAGUCCACGCCGUAAACGAUGACAACUAGCU